CUCCUACGGGAGGCAGCAGUGAGGAAUAUUGGUCAAUGGACGCAAGUCUGAACCAGCCAUGCCGCGUGAAGGAUGAAGGCCUUCUGGGUUGUAAACUUCUUUUAUUGGGGAAGAAAAUUACGGUUUCUACUGUAACCGACGGUACCCAAGGAAUAAGCACCGGCUAACUCCGUGCCAGCAGCCGCGGUAAUACGGAGGGUGCAAGCGUUAUCCGGAUUCACUGGGUUUAAAGGGUGUGUAGGCGGGCAUUUAAGUCAGUGGUGAAAUCUCCAGGCUCAACCUGGAAACUGCCAUUGAUACUAUUUGUCUUGAAUAUCGUUGAGGUUGGCGGAAUAUAUCAUGUAGCGGUGAAAUGCUUAGAUAUGAUAUAGAACACCGAUUGCGAAGGCAGCUAACUAAGCGAUGAUUGACGCUGAGGCACGAAAGCGUGGGGAUCAAACGGGAUUAGAUACCCUGGUAGUCCACGCCCUAAACGAUGAUUACUCGACAUACGCGAUACACAGUGUGUGUCUGAGCGAAAGCAUUAAGUA
rnacentral:rRNA from 1 species